rnacentral:rRNA from 1 species
AACGAACGCUGGCGGCAGGCCUAAAACAUGCAAGUCGAACGAACCUUCGGGUUAGUGGCGCACGGGUGAGUAACACGUGGGAAUAUGCCUCUUGGUGCGGAACAACGUCUGGAAACGGACGCUAAUACCGCAUAAUAUCUACGGAUCAAAGAUUUAUCGCCAAGAGAUUAGCCCGCGUCUGAUUAGCUAGUUGGUGAGGUAAUGGCUCACCAAGGCGACGAUCAGUAGCUGGUCUGAGAGGAUGAUCAGCCACACUGGAACUGAGACACGGUCCAGACUCCUACGGGAGGCAGCAGUUAGGAAUAUUGGACAAUGGGGGCAACCCUGAUCCAGCCAUGCCGCGUGUGUGAUGAAGGCCUUAGGGUUGUAAAGCACUUUCAGCUGUGAAGAUAAUGACAGUAGCAGCAGAAGAAGCUCCGGCUAAAUUCGUGCCAGCCGCCGCCGUAA